UGACCUGGGCUACACACGUGCUACAAUGGGCGGUACAAAGGGUCGCGAACCCGCGAGGGGGAGGCCAAUCCCAAAAAGACCGCUCUCAGUUCGGAUUGCAGGCUGCAACUCGCCUGCAUGAAGCCGGAAUCGCUAGUAAUCGCGGAUCAGCAUGCCGCGGUGAAUACGUUCCCGGGCCUU
rnacentral:rRNA from 1 species